GCAGGGUUCUGCCGAGCAGCCAGCCAGUGCAGAGAUGGAGCCCAACUUGGACCCGCUCUCUCGGGAACCGCGAGGAAUGAGUGUGCCUGGUGGCUGAGCCCCGCCCCUCCCCGCGCCUCUCGGCGCCGCGGGGCUCACGCCCACGCACCUGCAGCCGGCUGCGCACGCAAGAGCCGGGUUGCAAUCCCUGCUCGGCCAGCUGCCCACGCGUGAAAACAGCGGUGGAUGAUCUCCAAAGCCUAAAAGAGUUCUUCGAUUCUCGGAUUGUUGCUGAGGAUUCUGUAAACCUCCGACAUCAAAUCACUGGCCUCCAAUGGACAACGCUAGCAAGUCCUCACCGGGAAGAUAAUUUCCAAUACCAAGACCCGUGAUGUUCCAGGCAGUCUUUACACACUUUUGUCAUUUCAUCUUUACAAUAUCCCUAUGAUUAAGGUGCUAUCCCCAUUUCACAAAUGGAGUAACUGAUGGUUUAGGUUAGAUGACCUACCCCAAAUCGUUCAGUUUCAAAAAAGAAAGUGGAAAUAGUUGAAUUUAGGCUUAGCCUACCGUGGGAGGAUACAGGGCGAACAGACCAAGGAGUGAUAGAUAACAGAGCCUGCCACAGUCGAGGGAAAUAGCCUGGAGACAGACUGGCGUGAGCUGCCCUGGAAAGGGUAGCGUCUUAUGCAGAACCACAAUGCGUAGGAUUCUAAACCAAUGUGACUGGGAAUAGAUGGCAUCUUUGCCACCAGAAUCUGUAAAGCCUCUGGCUAGAGUUUUAAAAGCAAAGUAAGCGUUCAGAGAAAUGAGGCCAGGCGUUUUUGUUUUGUUUGUUAGUUUGAUGAAGACUCUAGAGAGCAUCCCUCUUUACAGGUAACUAUUGCUUUUCUUCAGCCAUUUGACUCAAUAGGUGUGCUCUUUGGUUUAAUCAUUAAACAAUGCCAUUGAAGUUUCAGCGAUUUGCUGGUUGGAGCGUAUGUCAACCCAUAGCCACAGGAUGGCAGUGUUUCCUAAUUGAUGAGAAAGCAUCUGCCUAGAAAGGGAAAAGUAGCUCAAAAGUUGUGAUAUUGGAAGGCUAAAGAGUGCAGAUUUUCAACGAUUCUCCAUUGUGGGUAAGGCCCACAGUCGUCAAGGGCAAGCCAAGCUGUUUUCCAUCUAAAUCCCCCACCCUGGGGAAUUAGCUUCUUCCCUGCUCCUGUCUCUUUUCUCAAUUCUAGGUUCAGCAGACAUUGUUUUUCUCUGCUGAAAUGUCCUCAUAUAGGAGGCCCUGAAGGUUUGAGGCCCUGCUACAUACACUUUAGGAAAGUGACUUCACUGUCUUUGGGGCCGGCAGGUCACCAGGAAGGCAGGGAACUGGUUUUCCGAGAAGGCUAGUGAGGACUCUGUGUAAGUCGAACCAGGCCAACCGAAAGGAAUUGCUCUCUCCAUGGUGAAGUAGAAAUAUAGCCAGGGAGGAGACUGGGGCCUCUAGAUCUGGGCAGUACCAAGUAAUGCUGUGCACUUCGGCAGGGUCUGAGCCCCAGAAGCCUGGGAUUAUCAGUUGUGUAAGGGCACAUUCCUCUUCUACCCUAUGUUUUUAGCCAGAGUUGUGUGUUGUGUGCGGAGGUAAUACAGCUAUGGAAAAGUGGACUCCCAACAAAAAAUACUGAGCCUAACUUUCAGAUCUAUUGCUUAGCUAUCUGAUGGCAAACAAAUGUCUGUUUCCUCAUUUUUAAAAAUGGUUAUAAUAAUAGUUACCUGAUAGGGUUGUUGAAAGGAUUAAAUUUGUCAUGGUGUAUGCAUGUGAAAGAGACUUAGGACGGUGUCUGAAUGUGAUCUGUGCUAGCCCCAUGGUCACCACAGUAACUCAGGGCAACUUGAUUAGACUCUACAGCAUUGUUUCCCUUUGCCAGGUGGCUACUUCAGGCUCAAACUGAUCUAGUAAGUUCAAGGUCAAUGAACCACAGCAAUCCAGUGAGUUUUAGUAGAAUCACAUGGGUUAGAAAAUAUGAAUAUUUAUAGGAAAAUUAAAUGGAAAUUGUGACACCUUUCCUUUGCGGGGGUGGGGGGCUCAUGAAGACCAGGCUGACCCCAAGUUCACUGCAUAGCCAAGGAUGACUUUGAACUUCUGCUGCCUCCCACACACCGGGACUACAGGAAUCCCCUUUGAAUCAAUAUAUAAUCCCACAUCUGACAGUUUCUCCUUCCAAGCAAAACAUAUGACCAUUGUCAGAAGUUCUCUUGACUGUGAGGAUUUCCCUUCACCUGUCCCCUUUAAGGUUCCCUAGUCCCAGGCAGAGACUAGAAUGUUGCAGCCACCCACUUCUUGGUGGUGCCUGCACAGCAUGCCGAACAUCUGUAAACCAAACAUUAUAAACCAGGGCCUAGUCUUCCCUUCCAUAGUCAACAUACCAGAAGGCUUUGUUUUCCAAGUUUGUGAGAACAUGCCAACUUCCUUACCCUGACUGUAAAACCAAAAGAAGAAUCAAACUAAGUUGUAUUCAUCUUUAAACAAGAUGUUUACAGAGUGGUAAUGUACACCUAUAAUCCUAGCACUCAGGUGGUAGGGAGAGAGGGUCACAAGGUCAAGGCCAGCCUUAGCUACAUAAAUAGUUCCGGGUCAGCUGUAUUGUUGUGGAACUCUGCCCAUAAGGGAUGACAUGGCUUUUGCCAUCUUGACACCAGAGUAGCUGUGGCUGCUCUAACAGACGCUUAUGGAAGAGGACGCACGAGGCUGCUGUGGAGACACCAGGAGGGACAGAGGCAGUGCCUUAGGUACUCACAAGGCUCCACCACUUCACAGGCAAGUAACCACUGCAGAGAAGGUUCUUUUUGGUCUAGCUGUCUGUAAGUUGCCCUGUCACCCCUUCAGGGAUGUGUUGCACGUUUGGGUUUGAUUUUGCAGUGAUGAGGCUGAAACCUGGGCUUUCCUAAAUUCAUCCUCACCCAUGCUUCUGUGGGUAAUCCCAAUUCAAUUCUUUGACUCAGCAAGCUAGAUUUCAGGGGCACCUUUUGGGACCAUGGGGAUGACGACAGAAUUUUAACCCAUUACUCUGACUGGCCUGAAACCUAUAUGUAUAGUAGACCAAGCUGGCCUCAAACUCACAGAGACCCAUCUAGUGAUGAAACUGGGCUUAAAGGUGUUUACUGCUAUUUCUGUCUGGAAGCAUUUCUUUUGUCUGUCCUCAGUGCCCUACCUGGGGUGGACAGACUUUUUUGUUUUGUUUCUAUACAUCUUCCCUGGAAAAUUAUGCACUAGUUGGCACCAACCAUAUGACAAAACCAAAGAUAACUUUGGGAGAAGCAGUUGCCUUGUCCCUGCUAUGGGUGAUAAGACAGGUGGUAAGACUGAAGAUAAUGUUUGAAGGUGGAGUAUUUUCAGAGGUGAUCUUGAUAUGAGCCCCCUUCCCUGUUAAGUAUGGUUUCCUUCUUGCUGUAGCAGCAAUUGGAUUCUUGUUGCUAUGCAACUAAGGCUGUGUCAUCCAAAGGUGAAAUGUCUGUAGAAGGGGCCCCAGUAUGACCAUCCUCAUCCAAGUGGGAUAAAUGACACACCUCCUUGAUGAAUGGAGUCUGUCAUGUAUGAGGAUCAUUUCCCAACCCCGCCAAAUGGUUGACAGGGAGGAAAAUACUUUGUAUCCCCUGAAGUAGCAUAUAUGGGACAAGUUCAUAAGAAGGCUUUGGUAUCAGUUGUGUGGCCUUUACUAUGAUAAUAAGGCAUGAGGCUCAGUGGGUAGACACUUGUCACCAUGCAUGAUGACCUGAGCUUGAUCUCCUACAGCCACAUGGUAGAAGGAGAAAACUGACUCCCACAUGUUCUUCUGACUACAAAUGUGUACACACACCCGUAAGAGUGUGUGGUGGAGGGAAGACAUGCGUACAGCAGUGGCUCAAUUGUCUGCCCAGAAAGAACAUGCUCGUCUAAGGGAGAAGCUGCAACAUGAAAAAUAUGUUUGGAUUCUAUCCUUCACAACAGCCUCUUAAUUGGCUCAGGAAGCAUGGCAGAAGAGAGAGCAGAAGGAACAUAAGAGCUGGAGAAAACAGUGGGGUAUUGUGGAAAUGUGCUCUGGACACGACAGGGCUGUUUCUGUCUUGGAACCAUGUGACUGCUUGAGACACUCACAUGACAGGGCCCACUAAUAUCCCCCACGUGGAAGUGGGCAGAACUCACAAAGCUCACAAGGUAGCAUGAGUGGUGUUUGAAGGACUCAUAAGAUGUCUCAGGCACCCAUCCUUCCUCGGGGAUAUGCAGUGGCUAAUAAUUGCUGGGGAGGGAGUGUUUUUUCCAUGGUGUCACCCAUAGCUUGCCCAUGCUCCUGUAAAUAACCCUAAUUAAACUCAUCAUUUCUCCAA